rnacentral:rRNA from 1 species
AUUGAACGCUGGCGGCAUGCCUUACACAUGCAAGUCGAACGGCAGCACGGGAGCUUGCUCCUGGUGGCGAGUGGCGAACGGGUGAGUAAUGCAUCGGAACGUGCCCUGAAGUGGGGGAUAACGUAGCGAAAGUUACGCUAAUACCGCAUAUUCUGUGAGCAGGAAAGCAGGGGAUCUUCGGACCUUGCGCUUUUGGAGCGGCCGAUGUCGGAUUAGCUAGUUGGUGGGGUAAAGGCCCACCAAGGCGACGAUCCGUAGCGGGUCUGAGAGGAUGAUCCGCCACACUGGAACUGAGACACGGUCCAGACUCCUACGGGAGGCAGCAGUGGGGAAUUUUGGACAAUGGGCGCAAGCCUGAUCCAGCCAUGCCGCGUGAGUGAAGAAGGCCUUCGGUGUAAAGCUCUUCGCCGGGAGAAAUCGCAUGGGUUAAUACCCUGUGUGGAGUGACGGUACCGGAAUAAGAAG